CAUACGAUAGCCCAGUUGGUAGAGCGGGGGGCUGUAGAUUUAUAAUUGUGAUCCCUAGGUCGCUGGUUCGAAUCCGGCUCGAAGGA
rfam:Nematostella vectensis strain CH2 x CH6 NEMVEscaffold_285_Cont22394, whole genome shotgun sequence.